rnacentral:rRNA from 1 species
GUGGGGAAUAUUGGACAAUGGGCGAAAGCCUGAUCCAGCAAUGCCGCGUGAGUGAAGAAGGCCUUAGGGUUGUAAAACUCUUUCAGUCGUGACGAUGAUGACGGUAGCGACAGAAGAAGCCCCGGCUAACUCCGUGCCAGCAGCCGCGGUAAUACGGAGGGGGCUAGCGUUGUUCGGAAUUACUGGGCGUAAAGCGCACGUAGGCGGCGUAGUUAGUCAGAGGUGAAAGGCUUGGGCUCAACCCAGGAACUGCCUUUGAUACUGCUAUGCUUGAGUCUGGUAGAGGGUAGCGGAAUUCCCAGUGUAGAGGUGAAAUUCGUAGAUAUUGGGAAGAACACCAGUUGCGAAGGCGGCUACCUGGGCCAGUACUGACGCUGAGGUGCGAAAGCGUGGGGAGCAAACAGGAUUAGAAACCCGGGUAGUCC